GAUGAACGCUGGCGGCGUGCCUAAUACAUGCAAGUCGAGCGAACAGACGAGGAGCUUGCUCCUCUGACGUUAGCGGCGGACGGGUGAGUAACACGUGGAUAGCCUACCUAUAAGACUGGGAUAACUUCGGGAAACCGGAGCUAAUACCGGAUAAUAUGUUGAACCGCAUGGUUCAGUAGUGAAAGACGGUUUUGCUGUCACUUAUAGAUGGAUCCGCGCCGCAUUAGCUAGUUGGUAAGGUAACGGCUUACCAAGGCAACGAUGCGUAGCCGACCUGAGAGGGUGAUCGGCCACACUGGAACUGAGACACGGUCCAGACUCCUACGGGAGGCAGCAGUAGGGAAUCUUCCGCAAUGGGCGAAAGCCUGACGGAGCAACGCCGCGUGAGUGAUGAAGGUCUUCGGAUCGUAAAACUCUGUUAUUAGGGAAGAACAAAUGUGUAAGUAACUAUGCACGUCUUGACGGUACCUAAUCAGAAAGCCACGGCUAACUACGUG
rnacentral:rRNA from 1 species